ACGGGGUGCAGCAGGCGCGAAAACUUUACAAUGCAGGAAACUGUGAUAAGGAAACACCGAGUGCUCACAUCAAAUGUGGGCUGUCCACGUACCCAAAUCGUACGUGUUAGCAAGGGCCGGGCAAUACCGGUGCCAGCCGCCGCGGUAAUACCGGUGGCCCGAGUGGUAGCCGCUUUUAUUUGGUCUAAAGGGUCCGUAGCCGGUUCGGUCAGUCCAUUGGUAAAUCCGGGUGCCCAACACCCGGCCUUCAGUGGAUACUUCCGGACUUGGGACCGGGAGAGGUAAGAGGUACUAUAGGGGUAGGAGUGAAAUCUUGUAAUCCCUAUGGGACCACCUGUGGCGAAGGCGUCUUACUAGAACGGGUCCGACGGUGAGGGACGAAAGCUGGGGGCACGAACCGGAUUAGAUACCCGGGUAGUCCCAGCCGUAAACUAUGCCCGCUGGGUGUCAGGCAUGGCGCGGCUGUGUCUGGUGCCGUAGAGAAGUCGUGAAGCGGGCCACCUGGGAAGUACGGCCGCAAGGCUGAAACUUAAAGGAAUUGGCGGGGGAGCAC
rnacentral:rRNA from 1 species